UACGUAGGGUGCGAGCGUUGCCCGGAUUUAUUGGGCGUAAAGAGCUCGUAGGCGGCUUAGCAAGUCGGGUGUGAAAACUCCAGGCUCAACCUGGAGACGCCACUCGAGACUGCUAUGGCUAGAGUCCGGUAGGGGACCACGGAAUUCCUGGUGUAGCGGUGAAAUGCGCAGAUAUCAGGAGGAACACCGGUGGCGAAGGCGGUGGUCUGGGCCGGCACUGACACUGAGGAGCGAAAGCGUGGGUAGCGAACAGG
rnacentral:rRNA from 1 species